rnacentral:rRNA from 1 species
GAUGAACGCUGGCGGCGUGCCUAAUACAUGCAAGUCGAGCGAACGGACGAGAAGCUUGCUUCUCUGAUGUUAGCGGCGGACGGGCGAGUAACACGUGGAUAACCUACCUAUAAGACUGGGAUAACUUCGGGAAACCGGAUCUAAUACCGGAUAAUAGUUUGAACCGCAUGGUUCAAAAGUGAAAGACGGUCUUGCUGUCACUUAUAGAUGGAUCCUCGCUGCAUUAGCUAGUUGGUAAGGUAACGGCUUACCAAGGCAACGAUGCAUAGCCGACCUGAGAGGGUGAUCGGCCACACUGGAACUGAGACACGGUCCAGACUCCUACGGGAGGCAGCAGUAGGGAAUAUUCCGCAAUGGGCGAAAGCCUGACGGAGCAACGCCGCGUGAGUGAUGAAGGUCUUCGGAUCGUAAAACUCUGUUAUUAGGGAAGAACAUAUGUGUAAGUAACUGUGCACAUCUUGACGGUACCUAAUCAGAAAGCCACGGCUAACUACGUG